rnacentral:rRNA from 1 species
AACGAACUCUGGCGGCGUGGAUAAGACAUGCAAGUCGAACGAGAGAAUUGCUAGCUUGCUAAUAAUUCUCUAGUGGCGCACGGGUGAGUAACACGUGAGUAACCUGCCCCCAAGAGUGGGAUAGCCCCGGGAAACUGGGAUUAAUACCGCAUAAAAUCGCAAGAUUAAAGCAGCAAUGCGCUUGGGGAUGGGCUCGCGUCCUAUUAGUUAGUUGGUGAGGUAACGGCUCACCAAGGCGAUGACGGGUAGCCGGUCUGAGAGGAUGUCCGGCCACACUGGAACUGAGACUCGGUCCAGACACCUACGGGUGGCAGCAGUCGAGAAUCAUUCACAAUGGGGGAAACCCUGAUGGUGCGACGCCGCGUGGGGGAAUGAAGGUCUUCGGAUUGUAAACCCCUGUCAUGUGGGAGCAAAUUAAAAAGAUAGUACCACAAGAGGAAGAGACGGCUAACUCUGUGCCAGCAGCCGCGGUAAUACAGAGGUCUCAAGCGUUGUUCGGAAUCACUGGGCGUAAAGCGUGCGUAGGCGGUUUCGUAAGUCGUGUGUGAAAGGCGGGGGCUCAACCCCCGGACUGCACAUGAUACUGCGAGACUAGAGUAAUGGAGGGGGAACCGGAAUUCUCGGUGUAGCAGUGAAAUGCGUAGAUAUCGAGAGGAACACUCGUGGCGAAGGCGGGUUCCUGGACAUUAACUGACGCUGAGGCACGAAGGCCAGGGGAGCGAAAGAGAUUAGAUACCCCUGUAGUCCUGGCAGUAAACGGUGCACAAAGGGUGUGCAGGGAAUCGACCCCCUGCGUGCCGGAGCUAACGCGU